AGAGUUUGAUCCUGGCUCAGAAUCAACGCUGGCGGCGCGCCUAACACAUGCAAGUCGAACGAGAAAGCAGGAGCAAUCCUGUGAGUAAAGUGGCGUACGGGUGAGUAACACGUGGAUUAUCUACCCUGGAGUGGGGAAUAACGCUGGGAAACCGGCGCUAAUACCGCAUAUUCCCGAGAGGGGAAAGCAGCAAUGCGCUCGAGGAGGAGUCCGCGGCCGAUUAGCUAGUUGGUAGGGUAACGGCCUACCAAGGCUAUGAUCGGUAGCCGGCCUGAGAGGGCACACGGCCACACUGGCACUGAAACACGGGCCAGACUCCUACGGGAGGCAGCAGUGGGGAAUCUUGCACAAUGGGGGAAACCCUGAUGCAGCGACGCCGCGUGAGCGAUGAAGCCCUUCGGGGUGUAAAGCUCUUUCGGCAGGGAAGAUUAUGACGGUACCUGCAGAAGCAGCUGCGGCUAACUACGUGCCAGCAGCCGCGGUAAUACGUAGGCAGCAAGCGUUGUUCGGAGUUACUGGGCGUAAAGGGUGUGUAGGCGGCCCCCUAAGUUUGGUGUGAAAUCUCCCGGCUUAACCGGGAGGGUGCGCCGAAGACUGGAGGGCUAGAGUGCGGGAUGGGAGAGUGGAAUUCCUGGUGUAGCGGUGAAAUGCGUAGAUAUCAGGAGGAACACCUGUGGUGUAGACGGCUCUCUGGACCGCAACUGACGCUGAGACACGAAAGCGUGGGUAGCAAACAGGAUUAGAUACCCUAGUAGUCC
rnacentral:rRNA from 1 species